CAAAACUUCAAUAUAAAGGAUGAAGAAUUUGCAAGUAGGAGGACAAAAAUUGGAAAUUUCCAAGGACAGCGGAAAUGCUCUCCACUACCCUGCACAGAGGAACACUUGGUUAUCUCCAGAGGCCUCUGGAAAUGCACAGUAGAUGUGGCAGUCAGGGCUUGUAGCGGCUCCCCUGGCCUUGAUCCACGAGAUGCCAGCUGCACCACCCACACCCCAGUUGUGACAACUAAUGAUGUCCCCAAGCAUCGUCAGAUGUUCUCUGGGCACCACAUUACCCCAAGCUAAGAACAGCUGGCUUCCUUCUCUUCUCACCACCGUCUUGGUUGUCAGCCCCUGGAUUUUUGGCCAUAAUCUCUACAACUGAGUCUUUCUCAACUGGGGCUCUUGCAACUGAACCACAGAAGUCAGAACAUUUUCCUGACUCUUCCAAGGAUGAUACAUAAAUGGAACCACUCUAAAUGCAGAAAGAAGUCUCUUCAAUAACUAGCACAAUUGUAAAUACUGAAAGAAGUUAAUUACUACAACCAAUCUAGGGCCAUAAAGACAAUAUAACUGCAACCAUUCUAGAUGCAAAAGAAGCCCAUUCAUCACUUGCAGAGGAUGCCUAGGAGAAUAAUUCUGUUGCA